rnacentral:rRNA from 1 species
ACUACGGAGAGUUUGAUCCUGGCUCAGGACGAACGCUGGCGGCGUGCUUAACACAUGCAAGUCUACGAGAAAGAGGUAGCAAUAUCUUGAUUAAAGUGGCGCACGGGUGAGUAACACGUAAGUAAUCUACCCAUAGAUUUGGAAUAACCCCGCGAAAGUGGGGCUAAUACCGUAUAAUGCAGCGGCACCGCAUGGUGAUGUUGUUAAAGUUUAUAAGACGUCUAUGGAUGAGCUUGCGCCCGAUUAGCUAGUUGGUAGAGUAAAAGCCUACCAAGGCAACUAUCGGUAGCUGGUCUGAGAGGAUGAUCAGCCACACUGGAACUGAGACACGGUCCAGACUCCUACGGGAGGCAGCAGUGAGGAAUAUUGGGCAAUGCCCGAAAGGGUGACCCAGCAACGCCGCGUGGAGGAUGAA